UACGUAGGGGGCAAGCGUUGUCCGGAUUUAUUGGGCGUAAAGAGCGUGUAGGCGGCCAGACAGGUCCGUUGUGAAAACUCGAGGCUCAACCUCGAGAUGUCGAUGGAAACCGUCUGGCUAGAGUCCGGAAGAGGAGUGUGGGAUUCCUGGUGUAGCGGUGAAAUGCGCAGAUAUCAGGAAGAACACCUAUGGCGAAGGCAGCACUCUGGGCAUUUCCUGACGCUGAGGCGCGAAAGCGUGGGGAGCAAACAGG
rnacentral:rRNA from 1 species